AUUUUAUCAUAUAUCACUAUUGUACAUAUGUUAAAGGGGAAAUGUAAGUUAAAUAAAUACUUUAAUGUAGUACUAAAACUUUGCAGCAUUAGAGCCUGAUUCUACUGAAUCUCUUUUUGAAUUAUCAGAGCUCUGUACCAAGACCACCAUGGAACAUUGCUGAUCACACAAAACUGGGUUUAUUAAACUUGCUGAGCAAGAGAAAGUACCAUCUUGAUAGAGUCUUAGCAGUGCUUUCAAAAGGGGAGUCAGGGAAGUCCACAGUAAUCAUAGGGUAGUUGGGGCAGAAGGUAGUAAGUGAGAGGGAAUAGGUCAGAAUUUUUGCAAUAAGAUGAGGUGCUGGAAGCCAGUGAUCUUAUCUUGGUGUGAAUGGGUCAGAACAAGCUGGUGUUAAAAUACUUUAAGCUUGGUUUGCUGUGCAUAUCAUGGUUUGUAUAAUUUGUCUGCUUUGCCAAUCACAGUUUUGCAAGCUGUGGUUUUAUUUCUGACCCAGUGUCAUCAAUGUCCACGUUUUUCCACCCAACACCAUGUCAGUGAUGCAAUGCUUCUUAUUGCCUCCAGGACUUCCUUUGCAAUAGCUGGCACCCAUUCUGAAAAUAUUAAUGGCCAUGUACAUAGUAUUGACAGCCACAUCACAAUUGUGGCCAGGCUGAUGAUGAUUUUGAUACGCCUCCUGAUGUCAGAAAUCAUAUGAAAUUAUGAAAAAAUGCUGCAUCUUAGAAUCAAAGAAAUGCAGAAAUAUUUUGAUAACAAUAAAAUCUCAUUUUCAUCUUGCAGAGUGGAACCAACUGUAUCUAUACUCCCAUUAAACAACUGGCCAACUGUGGGAGAUAUGUCAAAAGAGGUAUCAUAAAACUAUAGCAUAAAAAUACUUAUCCCCCUAUAGGCAGGCCCUUACACCCCCUUUAUGAGCCCAAAGGGGAGUUUUUCUUGCUUGCUUUGUUCUGAUCCUUGUAAUUUUAGUAUUAAUUUUAUUUCCUUAGCUGAACAACCCACUAAUUUUUCAAAGUUUUCUCUACAGGGAAGGUAUCUGAUUACAAAAGAAAUUAUCUAAACCAUGUAGACAGGAAACAUCCAGUGGGUUUUGCCAAUGGAAUUACCAUGCUACAGGAUGACACUAGAAAAGAUAAAGAUACUCAUAGGUAUAUCUUAAAUUGAAUCGUUAAAAAUUGGAUAGAUCUGAACUUUGUUCCAUUGUAACUUUCCCAAUAGCAAAAACUAAAAAAGAACACAAUGGCAGCUCUCAAGAAGUUAAGUCCAGGAGCAAGCAAUCCAUCAGAACCCCAACCUUUGGACUCACUAUGAUUUCCAAGAAACAGUGAGUGUAUGUGCCCAUUAAUGUGCUGGGUGGGUUUGCAGAGGGAGAAAACUGAAAAUCUAUUUAUAGUAUCAAUAUUAGGGUAAUAUAGUAUGCAUCUCUAAAAGAUUACCCAAAGUGUCAAAGGUAGGGAUAAUGGCUGUAUCGCCUUAUGACCUCUAUGAGUCAAGGAUGAAAUUCCAUCCCAGGAAGCCCUUUAAAGGUCCCAUACAGUGAAUGAGUGUUGGGGCUCCAUCCCCUCCUAAUCCGGAACGGGAAUUCACAUCAAAAUGGCACUGAGUCAGAAAACAAGUAUAAAGAAACCCAACAAGGAUCUGAUUUCUUCAUGGCUAUUUUGAUACUUUUUUGGGGAUAUGAAAUAUCUGUUUUUUUUCUUUUUUAACAAAAGAAAUGUGAGCUACCCUGGCACGGCUAAUGUCCUGAACAUAUGCUUUGUCUGCCUGCUGGGUAAUCCACACUGGGUGGCAUCUUAGCUUGCUUCUGGAUCAGGAAAUGCUCUCGGCUUUAGACAGUGCAAAAUGGAGACAUUCAAAUAAAAUUGUGAACUUUUUUGUGUUCGUUUGUAAGCAAAAUCCCUCCCCUACCCCAUUCCUAACCCAGUGUCAAAUGGGUUGUUUCUUCAAGUGCGAUUCAGAUUUUCUUCACUGCAGAUUAUUCACCCUGUUGGGUUUCUUUAUCUGAAAUUAUCCUGGGGAACCUUUGUGUUUGAAGUACAAAAUGAUAUGAAAAGUCAAGUUUAAAAAAAAAAAAAAGGCAAACCUAAAAGCCGAAGGCGGGUGUUGGAAGCAGGAAAAUCGUUCCUUGAACUCCCCAGGAGUUGAUCAAAGAGACAGCCAUAAAUUGCAACAAAGGCAGAGAUCUACUCUGCUCUGAAAGCCAGCCAGAAACACUGGAAAUGUUUCAUUAUUUAUUUCAUUAAUUCUGUGAUAGCAAUCUCUACUGACAAGAUUUGCAAAUCUAAUCAUUUAUUAAUGAUACAUGUCUGGUGGAUUGUGCCCAAGACCUUCCUUAGGUCCCAGCCUCUGCAUGGCUGAGGCCCUUGGCUAACUGCCAGCUUGCUUUCUUGCCACGAUAUGACAUUGGGAUUCCCAAGGUCCUCACCAGGGCCUGUCUGUGCUCACAGGCACAUUCAGAGGCGGCUGCCAGGCUCAGCCCUGCUCUAAGGACCAGCAUGAUGGCCACUUCCCAAUAUGAGGCCUGCCAACAUGGUUACUUCUAUUCGUAGAAAACAUUCUCUGAGAAUCACAACAUGGAACGUGCGGUUUUAAGUCAUGGUGCACACAGGAAUGAAUCUUUCAAGCUGUAUUUGCAUUGUCGCUACUCACCCUGAUGCAGAGAAGGCUUAACCUGACUCUUGACUAAGACAUUGAUUUUUCCUGGAAAUUUCACCAUGGUUUCAGAUAUUUCAAAAAUCUCAGCCUGUUUCCUUGGCAACCGUCUAAGCUUUAUUCCCUAUGAACCAAUGUGGCAUGAUGCGUCAGUAAACAGCGAAGCAGCAGCCACCCAACUUGCAGGCUUCCUGAAGAUUUCCUGGAAAGCCAUCCCUGCCCUGAGCUAUUUCGCAGGCACUGUUGUUGGUAUUCCACAGAGCGCAGCUAAAAAAAUAAUAAAAGUUCCAUAACCGUGUGCAUGGGGAACAACAGCGUUUAUGGAGAUAAUGAAAUGCAGAAAUGAAAACCCCUCAGCAAAGCCCCUUUAGAUGUGCCUAAGCUCUGUUCAUUAAUCUGCGAUAAUUAGACUUAUUUGCAGAGGUUAACAGCAGUGGCACAUGGUAAUUAAGCACUCCCUCUCUACCAGAGGGAUCGAAAAUGCUUCUCAUGUGACGUGUGUCCACUCUUCAGGACAUUCUGUGCUUGUUUCACAGCUCACAUUUCCUAUAGGAGGAAGAAAUUGUAUUCCUAUAAUGAGUGGCAACAUCGAAUUUUAGCUGUAAUGAGAGUGACGUGGGAUGAGAAUUAUUGCCUCCAAUAACUGACUGGCUGUAUCACCUUGGAUGCAUACGACUAUGGACAUACUCAAGAUUGCGUCAACCCUAAGUUCAUACACAGUAGGAUUUUGAUCCACUCCAAUCAAAAAGUAGGCUACAGCCAGAACCCCUGGCUCCAGUACCAACCGGAGGGUAGUGAGGAGAAAGCUUUUCUCUGCUGGUAGCCAUCCACCCAGAAGUUUCCUAGAAGGUGAUGUUGAUUGUAAUUAGAGCCUCGUCUGGGGGUGGAGGGGGGUUGUCUCAAUUCCCAGUCCUGCAAAUGCAGCUGGUGGCUGGGAAGCUGCCGCCUGGCACUCUCUCCAGAGACAGUCUCAGCUGCUCUUCCCGUCUAGAAUCAUCACUUGGUUGAGUUUCCCAGGGUAGGGGUUUUGAGUGUGGGGCAGGAGGGAGGAUGGCAGCGUUUGGCCCUGGAAGGAGGCAAUGACCAUCACGCAGGCGGCUGUUCACAGCGUGUGUCUGCCCCUAGCCUGGCAGCAGACUGCAGUUACUCCCCGGUCCCUUGCUGGCUGUUCACUUUCUACACCAAUGAGCUCUGAGGUGACAAGUUCAAUUCCCAGCUCUGUCAAACCUGCAUUUUCUUCCCUGACCUACUUUUCCCACUCUGCAGUGUUUGGAACAAUGCCUCUCUCUGUUCCCUGUUUAGACCCAUCUUUUGCCUGAGCUGGUGCAGAAGCACAGGCCUUUGCCAGGCUUUUUGCCUUGAAUCCCUGACAAGUGUUGAUGGGAAAAGAAAAAAAAAGAAAAAAAAGAAGAAGAAGAAGGGGGAAAAAGAAAAAAAGAUCGUCUCAUAAAACAGAGUUCAGCUCUCCCACAGAUGCCCAGAUUCUGGAGGCAGUGAAUGCUGCCGCUGGUGAGGAAAGAAAUGAAAAGGUCGUGCUUCUCCAUUCACACCUCUCUCCCCUCCACCCCCUACGCCCCACCCCAGCCUCCCGGGCACACUGAGGAGCAGCUAAGGCGAUGCCAAGAACGCUCCUGACCUCAUGAACAGAAAAAAAAAAAAAUGCUGCUGCUGCAUUGAGCAGCUCGAGCCCAGGCAUACCGAGUGCUCUCCUCCACAUGCCCCCCUGGGGGGAGCGGCUCCUGAAAGGAGCAGAGGGCAGCCCCUCUCAAGGCUCUUGAGUGCUACAGCCCUGCCACCGCCUCAAGGUUUUCCAGGCUUAGGGCCCCAAGGUGCUGUAAAGAGGAGCCCAUGAGGGAGCACAAGUGAAGAUGCCUUGUGGUCUGUAAAGCAGAUGUCCGCUCUACAAAUAAAUGCAGGAUGAUCUGACCCCAGAAGAGGUGAGUGGCAGAGAAUAACAGUAAAUCCAGAGCCAUCCUUUGCUUACCGAUUGCUGUGUGCCGAGAUUGCUCGGUGUGCUUUCAAAGGAACUAAGUGGCUACUCAUCCUAAGCCCCUACGGGCGGACGUUACCACUAUCACCCCCAUUUCCUAGAUGAUGGGGUACGGGGCAAAGGCUAGGAGUCAGCCCAGAGCCUGCCCCUGCUCCCUCCAGCUUGCACUGUGCACCUCUAUCCUGUGCACACUAGUGUCUUCUGCUUGCACUGCCCGCUCUCCAUCUUUCACUCCAAGGUAGAGGCACUGCUGUGUCCCCUCUAGCACUCCGCAGCCCUCUCCUCCUGCCCCCUCAAAGCUCAGCCGAGAUCACAGUCCUGUUCCUCCACGUGGGCUUGCGACAACAGGCUCCCCUGGGACACCCCCCACUCCCCCUUCAGUUAUUCCAUGAGUUUUCUCUCCUAAGACGAUCUGGGCUAACCUGGGGCACAGCUUCUGUGUUGGGCGCAGAUAGGGCCAUGCCUGAGCUCACACCCUCUGGUCCUUCUUAGUCUAGGGAUGCUGACAUCUAGUCAGCCCUGUUUCAGCAGCCUUCAGAGGAUGCAAUCUCUUUCCUGCUUGGUCUGCUGCUCUGCGAGGACACGGAGCUUACCAUCUACCCUGCAGCCAGGAGAGAAUGACAUCGUAAGGAAAAAACAUGAAAAGAAAAGUCCCAGGAACUUGAUGAUAUCAUUGAGUUGCUGUGCUGACGGAGUUGCCAAUUUUCAGAUUGUUUGAUUAAAAAAAAAAAAAAACUUUUAGAUUUCUAUAAUUAAUCUACCCCUAGUUAGGCUUCCUAUUACUUCCAGCCUGAAGCAGCUGACUAGUAGAGGUAGCUAAAAGUAGCCCUCCGGAGAGGGUGCUGGGUGACUGUUCUCCAUGUCGGUCACUGUGUGCCCCACCCUGACAUACACAUUCCUGCUCCCCUCCCCGAGAGGCUCCAGGAAGGAUAACCUAGCCGUCAUCCUGCCUGGAUUCCUCCUGGCCUUUGUGAUCUCUACUCCCUCUGCAGGGAAAACCCCUCCCCAAUCUUCACAGGGCUACUUUCUUUUCUUCACCCAACUCAAAAUCACCAUGGCGAAGAGAAGCCCUACCACCCACCUUGAGUUUUGUGUCUUACACACUCUGUGUUUCCUUCAGAGAGCAUCUCAGGAUGUGUAAAUAUCUAAAUUGUUUCAUAUCUUCCUGCACUCCACAGUGUGCCCCCCUUACUCACCUAGAACAUCGCCUGGCUCAAAGCAAGUGUUCAGACAAGGUGCACAAUCCCCUGCUUAUCCCCUGCGGUGUUUGUUAUGGUGUCUCAAUGGGACCUUCUCUUCUUCCUCCUCCUCCUUCUCCUUUUCCUCCUUCUCCUUCUCUUCCCUUUUUCUUCUUUCUUCUCUUCCUUCUUCUCCUUUGAAGCCAACUGAUGCCCUUUAGCUUCCAUCGAUGGUACUGAUGAUUUCUUUUCCGAAUUAAUCUUCCCAAAUUAUUAGAAUCUCUGUCCGUGUUCAACAGCUGAAAUCCCAGUUUGAUCUUUUCCAGUGAGGCUUGGUUUCUAGGGUAUCAUUGUAAAUUGGGAUGCUUUGAUGGAAUGACAAUGUGGGGAUGUUUUUAAGCUUCUUGCAUUCUUUUCACUAUAUCAUUAUGGUGGUUUUCAAUCUUUCAGACAUUUUAAUCUAUGCUUAAUUAUGCUCAUUCCCAGAGGCUCCUUAAAAGCAAAUGACACAAUUUUUUUUAAUCAAAUAAAUAAUACACAUGAGGCCUGCUAAGACUUGAUAGAAGCCUGUCUGAUCAGCUGAAGAGGAUGACUGGGAGGCAGGAAUUUGGGAGAGUCAUCACCCACCCUUCCAGCAUUUCCAACCACUCAAGAAAAAUCUUCAGAGCCUAGGAAGAUAGAGUCUGAGCCAACCAUGUACCCUAGCUUCUCCUCUCUGCUAGGAUGGAACCUGUGGAGAUGGAUGACUGUGGUUCCUCUUCCUUCCAAAAGAGGCAACGUGAAGUCCAUCUGGCUUCUUUGAGAAAAGGAGAAAAAGGUUCUAUCGUAGUUCGGCCUGCUAUAACAAAAUACCAUAGACGGGUGGCUUAAACAACAAAUAUCUUUUUCUUACAGUUCUAGGAGAGUCUGAGGACUCUUCCAAGAAGGUUGGGGAAUCCAAGAUGAAGGCAUUAGCAGAUUCAGUGUUUGUUGAGAGCCCCCUUCCUGUUUUUCAGAUGGCCACCUUCUCAUUAUGUUUCCCCUUAGCCUUUCCUUGAUGUGUACACAGUGAAGGGAGAGAGAGGGGGAGAAAGAAAGAGAAAGAGAGCACGUACAUUUCUGACCCUCAUUUUAUAAGGGCAUUAAUCUCAUCACGAGGCCCCUACCCUCAUGACCUCAUCUACCCCUAAUUAUUUCCCCAACAACUUACCCCAUCACCUUGGGGAUUAGGGUUUCAGCAUAUGAAUUUGCAGGUAGACACAAACAUUCAGAUCAUAGCACACUCUCCUGUCACUUUGUAAUAAUGACAAGAGUCAGUGUAAGAUUGGGGCAUUGGACAUUCCUUGCUAGAGCAAUCUGGGACCUCUCAGCUUAUGAUGGGCAUCUGCUGACUUAGCCUGUCCAAGCAUGCAUGUUCCCCUUGUUGUGAGAGUGAUUUCAGAAAGACUAUCAGUUAAGGUUCUUCACGCUUAUCUAGUGGUUGGCAUGGGCCCAAAUUGAGUCAACUCAGAUUGUUCUGGAAAUUUUAAUCGUGAACAGAACAAGGACGUAAACUCAAGAUGACCCAAAAUAUUGUCACUUCCCUAAAGAGAAAGUGACAAUAUUUUUUUAAUUCAAAAUAUUUUAUGAUAUACAGUCUAAUGACAGUAUGAAAAAAAAAUCAAAGCCCACAUUUGGUUUUCUUAACAAGGAAACAAUGAUUUAGAUGCUGCACAUAACGACUCCUAAGAUGAGAAGAACAGUGUACUCACUUUCUGCUACUUAAAUUCUCAGGUGCCCAUACUUUCUGAUACUUGGUCUUCAGCUUUGGCUCUUAAUAAAUGACUACUACAUAUCCUUCAAUUAAUUGUUUUCUCCCCUAUGAGUUGCCAGGUUAAUAUCUACUACUUAAUAAAAGGAUCCUAAAUUAUAGACUUUUUAAACAAUGAACCCCAGAGCUCUACACCUGCUCCCACUACUGAGGCCUCAGAAUAUGUUUAUCUUAUGCAUCCUCUACUAACUCUGGUAAUCAGUGUGGAAAAGGCCCAAAUAAUUGAAAAAAACAAAACAAAAUAAAACGGGUCACUCUCUCUCUGAUCUGCCGUGUCAUUCUCAAGUAGAAAACAAAAUGGCAGUUGCAAGAACCUGAGGGAAAAAGAGUCUUUAAAAAAAAAAAAAAUCUUAUCUGUCUGUCUUAAAAGCCAUGAAUGAA